ACGACCUUACUUGAACAGGAUCUGUUCUAUAGGAUCGUACCGUUGCAUCCUUGAUUAAUAAGGAGGCAAGCACUUAAGCCUGGUUGAUGUGUCAUGACCUUUGGGCCAGAGCGUGAUUAACGGCUAGGAUUGGCUCUGAUGUCAUGACCUUUGGGCCAGAGCGUGAUUAACGGCUAGGAUUGGCUCUGAUGCUUUGUCCUUAAGCUGUAGAGGAUCGUUCCCGUCAGGCUUGCUUGACUCGGGGUGGCCCAUAGGUUGUCUGACAGGCU
rnacentral:snoRNA from 1 species